rnacentral:rRNA from 1 species
GAUGAACGCUGGCGGCGUGCCUAAUACAUGCAAGUCGAGCGAACGGACGAGAAGCUUGCUUCUCUGAUGUUAGCGGCGGACGGGUGAGUAACACGUGGAUAACCUACCUAUAAGACUGGGAUAACUUCGGGAAACCGGAGCUAAUACCGGAUGAUCUUUUGAACCGCAUGGUUCAAAAGUGAAAGACGGUCUUUCUGUCACUUAUAGAUGGAUCCGCGCUGCAUUAGCUAGUUGGUAAGGUAACGGCUUACCAAGGCAACGAUGCAUAGCCGACCUGAGAGGGGGAUAGGCAACACUGGAACUGAGAAACGGUCAAGACUCCUACGGGAGGCAGCAGUAGGGAAUCUUCCGCAAUGGGCGAAAGCCUGACGGAGAAACGCCGCGUGAGUGAUGAAGGUCUUCGGAUCGUAAAACUCUGUUAUUAGGGAAGAACAUAUGUGUAAGUAACUGUGCACAUCUUGACGGUACCUAAUCAGAAAGCCACGGCUAACUACGUG